AUAGGAGAUAGAAAUUUUAAUUGGAGCUAUAGAGAUAGUACUGUAAGGGAAUGAUGAAAGAUAUUUUAACAGUACAAAACAACAAAGAUUACCCUUUUUACCUUUUGCAUAAUGAAUUAGCCAGAAAUAACAAAGAGAACUUAAGGUAAGCCCCCCGAAACCAGAUGAGCUACCUAUGAACAAUCUACAAGGAUCAACUCAUCUAUGUCACAAAAUAGUGAGAAGAUUUAUAGGUAGUGGUGAAAACCCUAAAGAGCCUGGUGAUAGCUGGUUACCCAAAACCAGAAUUUUAGUUCAACUUUAAAUUUACUUAAAAAAAUUAAAAUUUUAAUGGAAAUUUAAAAUAUAAUUUUAAAAAGUACAGCUUUUUAGAAUAAGGAUACAACCUUUCUUAGAGAGUAUAUAUUAAUGCUACCAUAGUUGGCCUAAAAGCGGCCAUCAAUUGAGAAAGCGUUCAAGCUCAACAAUUAAUAUGACCUAAUUCCAACUAUAUUAAAUUAACUCCUCAUAUUACUCUGGGUUAAUCUAUUAAAAUAUAGAAGCAACAAUGCUAGUAUGAGUAACAAGAAUUAUUUCUCCCUGCAUAAGUUUGUAUCAGAAACGGAUAAACCGCUGAUAGUUAACAAUAUGAUAAAAUUAAUCCAAAAAUAAAAUACUUAUAAAUCCCAUUGUUAACCCAACACAGGUAUGCACCCAAGGAAAGAUUAAAAGAAGUAAAAGGAACUCGGCAAACAUAAACCCUGCCUGUCUACCAAAAACAUCGCCUCCAGCAUCCCCAGUAUUGGAGGCACUGCCUGCCCAGUGACAUCUGUUCAAUGGCCGUGGUAUCCUGACCGCGCAAAGGUAGCAUAAUCAUUUGUUCUCUAAAUAAGGACUUGUAUGAAUGGCUACAGGAGGGUUUAACUGUCUCUUACUUCCAAUCAGUGAAAUUGACCUUCCCGUGAAGAGGCGGGAAUAAUACAAUAAGACGAGAAGACCCUAUGGAGCUUUAAUUAAUUAACCCAAAUUCAUGGAUCUUAUUAACCUAUCAGGUAUAACACACUACCAUUUUUAUGGGUUAACAAUUUAGGUUGGGGUGACCUCGGAAUAUAAAAAAACAUCCGAGUGAUUAAAAUUUAGACUUACCAGUCAAAAUAUUAUAUCAUUUAUUGAUCCAAUAAUCUUUGAUCAACGGAACAAGUUACCCUAGAGAUAACAGUGCAAUCCUAUUCAAGAGUCCAUAUCUACAAUAGGGUUUACGACCUCGAUGUUGGAUCAGGACAUCCUAAUGGUGCAGCAGCUAUUAAGGGUUAGUUUGUUCAACAAUUAAAUUCCUACGUGAUCUGAGUUCAGACCGGAGUAAUCCAGGUGGGUUUCUAUCUAUUUAAUAAUUUCUCCCAGCA
rnacentral:rRNA from 1 species